rnacentral:tRNA from 1 species
UCCCCCGUGGUGUAAUCGGCAGCACAUACGACUUUGGAUCGUAUUGUCCAGGUUCAAGUCCUGGCGGGGGAGCCU